rnacentral:rRNA from 1 species
AGAGUUUGAUCAUGGCUCAGAUUGAACGCUGGCGGCAGGCCUAACACAUGCAAGUCGAACGGUAACAGGAAGCAGCUUGCUGCUUUGCUGACGAGUGGCGGACGGGUGAGUAAUGUCUGGGAAACUGCCUGAUGGAGGGGGAUAACUACUGGAAACGGUAGCUAAUACCGCAUAACGUCGCAAGACCAAAGAGGGGGACCUUCGGGCCUCUUGCCAUCGGAUGUGCCCAGAUGGGAUUAGCUAGUAGGUGGGGUAACGGCUCACCUAGGCGACGAUCCCUAGCUGGUCUGAGAGGAUGACCAGCCACACUGGAACUGAGACACGGUCCAGACUCCUACGGGAGGCAGCAGUGGGGAAUAUUGCACAAUGGGCGCAAGCCUGAUGCAGCCAUGCCGCGUGUAUGAAGAAGGCCUUCGGGUUGUAAAGUACUUUCAGCGGGGAGGAAGGGAGUAAAGUUAAUACCUUUACUCAUUGACGUUACCCGCAGAAGAAGCACCGGCUAACUCCGUGCCAGCAGCCGCGGUAAUACGGAGGGUGCAAGCGUUAAUCGGAAUUACUGGGCGUAAAGCGCACGCAGGCGGUUUGUUAAGUCAGAUGUGAAAUCCCCGGGCUCAACCUGGGAACUGCAUCUGAUACUGGCAAGCUUGAGUCUCGUAGAGGGGGGUAGAAUUCCAGGUGUAGCGGUGAAAUGCGUAGAGAUCUGGAGG